rnacentral:rRNA from 1 species
UUUUGGACAAUGGGCGCAAGCCUGAUCCAGCAAUGCCGCGUGCAGGAAGAAGGCCUUCGGGUUGUAAACUGCUUUUGUACGGAACGAAACGGUCCUGGUUAAUACCUGGGGCUAAUGACGGUACCGUAAGAAUAAGCACCGGCUAACUACGUGCCAGCAGCCGCGGUAAUACGUAGGGUGCAAGCGUUAAUCGGAAUUACUGGGCGUAAAGCGUGCGCAGGCGGUUUUGUAAGACAGGCGUGAAAUCCCCGGGCUUAACCUGGGAAUGGCGCUUGUGACUGCAAAGCUGGAGUGCGGCAGAGGGGGAUGGAAUUCCGCGUGUAGCAGUGAAAUGCGUAGAUAUGCGGAGGAACACCGAUGGCGAAGGCAAUCCCCUGGGCCUGCACGACAACUCAUGCACGAGG